AACGAACGCUGGCGGCAGGCUUAACACAUGCAAGUCGAGCGCCCCGCAAGGGGAGCGGCAGACGGGUGAGUAACGCGUGGGAAACUACCCAUCUCUACGGAAUAACGCAUGGAAACGUGUGCUAAUACCGUAUACGUCCUUCGGGAGAAAGAUCUAUCGGAGAUGGAUGAGCCCGCGUUGGAUUAGCUAGUUGGUGGGGUAAAGGCCUACCAAGGCGACGAUCCAUAGCUGGUCUGAGAGGAUGAUCAGCCACACUGGGACUGAGACACGGCCCAGACUCCUACGGGAGGCAGCAGUGGGGAAUAUUGGACAAUGGGCGCAAGCCGGAUCCAGCCAUGCCGCGUGAGUGAUGAAGGCCCUAGGGUUGUAAAGCUCUUUCACCGGUGAAGAUAAUGACGGUAACCGGAAAAGAAUCCCCGGCUAACUUCGUACCAGCCGCCGCCGUAAAAC
rnacentral:rRNA from 1 species